UAAGUCUUUCGUGUGCACCCCUUCAUAUGAGAUCGGUGCAGUUCGCAUUAUUCGCAUGUGCAUUAAUUUGCGAUUGUAUUUCAACAUAUCGGGGCAUGGCCUUUUUAUGUCGCAUAUAUCAUAUAUUUUCCUAUUACAUUAAGGUAUCCGAUAUACAAAUAGAUAACAUUCUAUGCCUGGUGAUCCCAUUUUUUUUGUGCUUGUUAUUUGGUAGCAUUUGAAAGAGUUGUGUCUGCUGAACAAGAAUUAGUUAAUAAGAUGACCAUAAUAAUAUGCACAAAUCACUAGUCAUUUUUGUUGACUGCGAAAUGAUAAAUCUUAAAAUGUGAUAGCUGGAUUUCUGUUGAAGUAUCACUGAAAACUGUAAAGUAAAAAAUAAAAGUUCCAUAACAUAUUUUGUCAUGAAAUUUUUAUUUUCUUUUUCAGGAGACCAUACACUUUCAAAUGAAACCAAAAUUAUAUGAGUUUAGCAGUUUUAAUAGCACUCACUAUUAUAUAGAACUUGCUUAUUUGUGGACCGGAUACCUUAAUAUAUCUUAUAGCGGAUGUUUUAUUGAAAUGAGUCAGACUGGGUUGGUUCACACUGAUAGUAGUUCACACGUUUUUUUUUUAUAUUUGGUAUCGUGUGUGAAAGUUAUCGGCAUCUAUCUAAAUACAAAUGUUAAUUUUUAGUUUUAUGACAACUACAUAAAAGUACGGUGGUAUAAUUAGGACACACACUUAUGUUUUUUUAAUUAAUUUAUCUCGAGCGCUCGAAAUAAAAUGUCAUGCGACCGAAAUAAGUUAUAGCGAGCUCGAGAUUAAAAGUCGUGCGCUCCAGAUAACAUGUUGUUCACUCGAGGUAAGAUGUCGUGUUACCGAGAUAGGAUGUCGUGCGAUCGAAUAUGAUGUCGUGCACUCGAGAUAAGAUGUCGAGCGCUCGAGACAAGAUAUCGUGCGCCCGAGAUAAGAUGUCGUGCACUGGAGAUAAGAUGUCGAGUACUCGAGAUAAGAUGCCAUGCGCUCGAUAUAGGAUGUCGUACACUUUAAAUAAGCAGUCGUGGUCUCGAAAUAAGAUGUCGUGCGACCAUUUUCGUGCGUCAUGUCGCAUUGUCAUGCGUCGUGUGAUGUGUCGUAUCGUAUUGUCAUGUGUCGUAUCGCACGUCGUGCGUUGACCAAAAAGAUUUUACAACUAUAAUGCGACACUACCACGACAAUCUCGAUACUACACGACUAUGUGACACAACGCAAAGUCCUGUCGUUUUGCCGCCCAUCGUAUCGUGUGUCGACCGUCGUGUCGCAUAGGUAUGUUUCGUGUUGCGAUAAAAAUGGUUGACGCACGAACCGGCAAGGGAGCGUUAUGACGUCAAUUAUGACGUCAAAUUGCCACAUGACAUCCGGUUCAUUACUACUCUGAUAAAUGAAACCCAGCAUAACUUUAAUCAAAAUAUUUCAAUAAACAUGUAAGAAUGAAAACAAUCAAUGCCUUCUUGUGGUUUGUCGUGUAACUGACCGCAGUUCAUCUUUCAGAGGCUUAGAUAUUAAACCACUCGGCCUAACGCCCUUAAGUGCAUUAUUAACAUAGUAAUUGUUUUCAUAUUUCUUUUUUACACGUAGGCAUAUUUGUAAAUACCGUUUCAUGAACACAUGGGAUCUCUGUUGAUUUUAUUUUUAAGUUUUAAAGUACUAAAUCUUAAUGGAAGUACUUAAAAUGACAUAGAUCUUAAGGCGUGAUUUUUUAACAAUAAUUAUUGAGUUUUCAAGUAAUCAAAAAUUUUAUUAGAUCAUGUAGAUGGAUGGCAAACAUCCAUAGCAUAAAAAGGGCUCGAGAUAGUGCACUGGAAAUGUAAGGUAAAAUUUUGUGAAACGCCGGUAACGACUAAUGGAUGUUUGUUAGGACCUUGGGUUACUGGGCUUAAAUAAAUGUGAUAUUGCGAUAUACAUUGUCUCAUACAAGUAGCUUUUUUCGAGUCAUGUUGUGCAAGACAUGUUCGUCAAUAAAAGUGUGAAAUUUAUUUAGGUCUAUAAAUGGAAAUCGUGAAACCACAAAACAGGCAAACUGAACAUUAAUUUUUCACAUCAGUGUCAAUGAAAAUGUGUACAGCGAAGCAUCUAGCAGUUUUGUCGAUUUGUUUUAUCAUGGUUAAAGUGUGUGAUACGAGAGCAAUAGAAUGCCAGAAUACUCGUCAUGGAAGCCGCCAUGCUGCAAGAGGAUUGGAACGCUGUGUAAGGAAUAUGGCUCGUGUUCUGGAUCUCGUAUGUCCGAACGGACCUCAAGAUACCACGUCAACACACGAGGACAAACAACGGCGUAUAUAUUGCACGUGUUGCGUGCAGCAGUGUUCCAUGACAACCCUGGUAUCGCUGUGCUGACAGAAAAAUAAAACUCAUUUUUGUUGUAUACUAAAAAAAGAAUAAACUGGAAUAUGGCAGAAUGA